rnacentral:lncRNA from 1 species
UUCUUCUGCUUCACCCCAUUCUUGGUCCCUGAGCCAGUUCUGUCAUUGGUUCUUUCAGACCAGAGCACGAAAAGUCAAGAAAGCAAAAGCAGAUUCUAGGCCAUGGGGUUUGCUGUUUGCUAGCCCCCUGGCAGAGAUGCCUGUCCUUGCAGUCCUGAACUGGUGGCCAAGUGUGUGUGCAUGCAUGUGCAGGUGUGUGCACGUGCAGGUGUGCAUGCAUGUAUGUGCGCACACACAUUCAUGCUUGUACAUGUUUGUGUACAUGCACACUUUUUUCUGCUUUCAAUUUCAAGCUGCUGCCUCCCUGAUGUGUCUGUUUAGUGACUUCAGCCAGAAAGAUCACCAGUUCUAUGUGGGAUGAGAAUAAACGCAGGUAGGUCUCCACAGAAGUGAGUAAAGUGGAGCUGAGAAGAAGGACAUUGUCUCAUGCCAGCCUGUCCAAUAGCCACUUUGCCCCAGCCCUGACUCAAGCCUCAGAGAGAUGACAAGGCUGUCUCUGUUUGUUGACUCCCAGAAGCUCAGAAAGGUGGGUCAAGAGGUGCCCAUGAAGCCUUUAGGCAAGCACAGGACCCUGAUCUUUACUAAGUCUCCACAUCUCUUUUGCACAGCCCUGGGCUCAGGGCUUGGUCCCCUCUGGGCAGGCCAUCCAGACUAAGUGACAGUUAGAUUGUGUGUGGGGAGGCUGGAGACAUCCAUUCUUCAUGGAUCAGCCUGAAUGGCUGGACAGAUCUUGCAAAUGGAUUGUAUAAGACAGAGUAUGGAAGGGGAGGCUGUGAUCAGUGGCUUGGAGAGCAGAGUGUGGUCAGGUGCUAAACCUAAGGCUUUUCUGGGAAGAGCUCUUAAGAUUAGACUGUUCUCCCAAAAAGCCAAUAAUUCUGAGUGUCUCCAUUAAUGCCUAAGUAGCCCACACUCUCACCCAGCCAGUGCCCUUCAGCCUGGAACCUUUGGAUGGAGGAUUGGACCUUGUGACCUUCAAGUUCCCUUCCAAACCAAAUAUGCUCUAACCCAGGAGAUGGUGCUGUAGCCCAGGAAGCCGGUCACCAUGACGAGAGUACCUGCCCAGAUGAGGAUGCAGGUGGAGGCAGUGAAGGUGCUGGAGGCCAGGAUGCUGAGGUAGCCACUCCUCUCCACCAGGGUCCAGAUACCCAUGGCCAGGACAGCUGCCCCCCUGACCUGCAGGAGACCACCAGGUUGGAGCAGGGGGUGGCGGGGGCCUCAGGAGCUGCCAUUCCUUGAGUGCCUGCUGGGUACCAGGCACUUCUCGUGCGUUGUCUUAUUCAAUUCAGGCCUCCUAAGAGCCUGUGAGAACAGUGUGGUGGCCUAGCUUUAUAGAUGAGGAAAUGGAGGCUGAGAGAGGUUUGCAGGCUUGUCCAAGGUCACACAUGUAAGCGAGCUGCAGAUUUUGAAUCUGGGUCUGACUUCUGAUUCUGUGCAUCUUACUAUGGUUCCUACUGCAUAUGAGGCGGGGAGAAAUGACUUCAGUUUUGGGGAUGACCAAUAUACCUGAGUCCUUUCGCCUCCCCUCCCCUCAGAGCGCUCCCUCCCUCUGUCCACAUUUCCCUGAUGGAUGUGGAGGUGCCCUUUUGAGCACCGCCCCUUGUUCAAUCCUUAUGUUUGCCCAUUGGGGAAGCACGGCUGGGCCCCUUAUCCCUCCCUGUUCUACAGAGGAAGGAACUGAGGCCCAUGGAGAAAAGGUAAAUGGCCUGAGUUAGGGGCAGGGCCAGGACCAGGACUCAGAGCCCAGGGUGUGCUCGCUCAGUCUCGCUGCCUCCAUGGUGGAAGGGCCACUGUGCUGGACAAGUUGGAGCUCCCUGGGACCACAGAAGGAGGGAGGAGAGACUUCUUUGCUGUCUGAUUCCCUUUCAGUCCUGAGAGGGGGCAGGGACGGGAUGCUGCUGAUUUGCAGGUCUGGGGGAUGCCUUCUUAGUAACAGAGUAUCUGGGAAAUGUAGCUGGGGUGGUGGGGCUUGCCUGUUCUUUCCUGCGAUGAAGCUGAGUAGCCCUUUUAGUGACUUAUCCUCAGCAGGGGAUAGUGCGUGGGUGCAAGUGUCCCCAAGGUGCCAGAUGGGGGCUGUUUGGAGUGUUUUCCCAGGAUUUGGGUCCUCUGGGACCUCUGACCAUCUCUGUCAUUUGCUCCUGGGAAGCUGGAUUUCUGUCUCCCAGUCUCUGCCCGCCAUGUAGGGAUGGGUCCAUUUCCUCUGAUGG